rnacentral:ncRNA from 2 species
UGAGGUAGUAGGUUGUAUAGAU